UCUGAGUUCGUAACUUACGUCACAAAGGAUCAUUAAGAAAUAUGUAAAUCUAUGGGGGGAGGCUCGAGUGAAAUCUACUGUCAUUCGAAAGCUGCAUGGAUAAAUGAACUAUUAAAAAGAAGACCUGACACAGUGUGGCUCCUGCGAGCUCUCUAGCUCAUCCCAGUUCACGCUCUGCUCAUUCACCUCUGGCCACACUGGCAUUUAAGGUCCUCAGACCCAGCAAGCAGCAGCAGCCCCGGAAGGAGUCCAUCACCUGUUUGCCCUGAGUGGAGUCCUUCCUUGCCAAUAACACCUGUGAGGUGGCGAUGAGACUAAGAUCAGCAGCAAUGCCGAUGUCCAGCCGUGGAACAGAAGAAGAGCAAAGAGCAGGAGCCAGGAUCCCUGACCUGGACUGCGGCAGGGACCGUCUGAGGACUUGGGCUUGGCUGGACCCCAGCAUCCUUGGGUUCCCCACUGUAUUACUGGCCUGCGUGGUCUGUGGAUACAGUGCACUGCAGGCACUGGUUCCCGCGCUUUCCAACGUCAAACACUACCGAAGCUCCCAAUGGAAAUCUUGGGGGCAAACGUGGGGCCGUCAUUUUAUUUAAUCUCACCAAGUAGGCCUCAAAUAAAAAAUGUUGGUCUACUAUCCACAGUCAGCAUCACUUCAUAAAGAAAGGACAUUUUAAUGCCAAAAAAGCAAGAAGGAAAUUAUCACAGAAUACAG
rnacentral:lncRNA from 1 species